GACGUCGAGUAUCGACGUCAUCAACACCACAGUUGAUCGUGUUUAUGACGUCGAAUAUCGACGUCAUAAACACCUAAGUUGAUCGUGUUGAUGACGUCGAAUAUCGACGUCAUAAAUACCAAAGUUGAUCGUGCUGAUGACGUCGAAUAUCGUAAAAUAUCGACGUCGAAUAUCGACGUCAUAAACACCAAAGUUGAUCGUGUUUAUGACGUCGAAUAUCGGCGUCAUAAACACCAAAGUAGAUCGUGUUGAUGGCGUCGAAUAUCGACGUC
rnacentral:miRNA from 1 species